CAUAACAUAACAUCAAUGUAACAUAACAUAACAUAACAUAACAUAACAUGACAUAACAUAACAUCAAUGUAACAUAACAUAGCAUAACAUAACAUAACAUAACAUCAGUGUAACAUAACAUAACAUAACAUAACAUAACAUCAGUGUAACAUAACAUAACAUAACAUAACAUAACAUAACAUCAAUGUAACAUAACAUAACAUAACAUAACAUAACAUAACAUAACAUCAAUGUAACAUAACAUAACAUAACAUAACAUAACAUAACAUAACAUAACAUAACAUCAAUGUAACGUACAUCAAUGUAACGUAACAUAACAUCAAUGUAAUGUAACAUCAACGUAACAUCAACGUAACAUCUACGUAAUGUAACAUCAACGUAACGCAACAUCAACGUAGCGUAACAUCAAUGUAACGUAACAUAACAUAAAAUAACAUCUUGUAAUUUAUCAAUGUAUCAAUGUGAAAACAGACCUGCAGCAGAAAGGACAUCAGGUCUAAAACGAGCAAUCAAGCUAAAUGUGAAACCAGCCUGAAACUGCAUGACCUGUUGAGAGGGAACUCAUUUCAGGAGCGCAGUAUUGAUCAACUGAGGAAUCUCAUUCAGAUCACAACAUCUAAAUGACUGAGAUGCAGGAGAGUGAAGGACACAGCUUGUGUGUGUGUGUCUCAUCUGUCACUUCUCUGUUAGGUAAAGGCUAUGAGGGGUCAGAUGCACACAGUGGUCAGCCGGCAGCAGUAACAGAAGCAUUACUGUGUGUCUCCAUCCAUCCAUCCAUCAAUCAGUCGCUCAGGGCAUGAGGUCACAGGUCACCAGGUCACGGUGGGCAGUUAUGCUUCAUUACAUUACCUGUCUGCUGCCCUGGAACACAGGAAACCGCUUCUAUGGGAUCACACUGCCACUUCCUGCCUGCACCUACAUCACCUCCAGAACACCAGAGGGUGCUGUUCAGAAUGUGAAUCAACCACCUUGAUUUCAUUAUGUGCUGUGGUGCUCAGAGAGGGGCUGAAAUUGUCUGGACUGAUGCAGAAUGCUGUUUGUAGCUGCAGUCCUGAAAAGCACUUAAAGUGUGCUUUGAAAGAGGGCUGCUCUCUCCCGAGGCCACGUCUCUCUGUUGCAUGUAGUGUGGGCGCCUCUAUCUCCAGCAGGCUGAUUCAAACUCUCACACCAUCUCAGCAGAGUUUGGAUACACUCUGAGUAUUGCACAACGCUCAAACCAAACAUCCCAUAGACGGUUUGAAUGCACGUGACACCAGAAGUCCUGAGGGCUGGAUGUCAGUCUGGCUUUCAAUCACAUGUAAGUGUGGCUUAGCAUUCUGACCCCUCCUCGUCACGUGAUGUGAAUGGGAUGAGACGUUUCGGACACGUGCUGCAUGCAGGAGGCACAAACAUAAAAUAUGCUGCUUAAUGCAUGCAUUCAUGUUUACAUGUAGGCUAAAUAGAGAGCAAUACUAAAAAGGCCAAAUUAAGUUUGUUUCUACACUAAAAAUGUCUCAUACUUUAAGCACUAAUCAGUGGCUCACUUUAUCACACAGAUAAAGUGUAGAGUGUGUAAGAAUUAUUCGUAUGCUGGAUAAAUGAAAGGUGUCACAUUGGUUAGCAUGGCCAUGUUAGCUGAUCUGAGAACAACUAGUCUCUGAAUUAGCUGAUGUUUGCGUUCAUGGCAUUAGAUUGAUGAAAUAUGGUGAAGUUUUUCAUAAAUAUAACAAAUUUGUCUUGCCAUAUUCAUUAAUUUUGUAAACUUCACACUGACUAAAAUGGCAUUGAAAAUACCAAUUAAAAUCAUAUGUUUAAUAUGGUUUUAAAUUCCUAUCAAGCGAUGUCAUUGCAUUUAUGGUAAAAAUUAAUAUAUUUUAGUCAUAUUUGUCUAUCAUACAACAUGCAGUUCACAUCUGUAUUUCAUAAUUUUUCAUUAAAAUCUGUAAUUUUUAACUUAUUACACUUACGUCUGAAACUGAUUUAAAUGCUUCUCAGUUUUCAGCUGUUUUGGUGCAAAAUUUAAAUCUGCAGAAAUUUCUUAAUUUUGAACAUCAACAUAAUCUUCAUGGGAAACUUUCUGCCUUCACGUAAAACUCCCAAACACGUGGUUUCCUAUUGAAACAACUUAAGUUUGCCUCCAAGAUUUCAUCAUGCAGUGGUAAAAGAGACCAGGCAUGUAUGAUGCAGCCUGUGCAAUGUCAUACAUUUUGCUUUUAAAAAUAAAAUAAAUGUGGAUGUGCAAUAAUUUCAACUGCAAGACGAAUGGCUCUUUUAACUGGAAUAUUCUAAAUUAAACCAAAUAUACAGUUUUAUAUAUUAAUUAAAAAAUAUACCUAACUGAAAUAAUACACUAUACACUAUUGUAAGGUGUCAUAUAAUGAGAAUUCUUUAUGCUGUUGUUAUGGACAGAGCUAAUUCAAAACGUGACUUCACGCAUAUAAGCAGUUAAAACUAAUUUGCGCUGAACAUUUAUGCUGUGAAUAAAUCUGGUUAAUCUCAAAUGCACUUGAUGCACCUGGGUGAGUUCAUUAACCCCCUAGCAAAGCUUCAGUUUAAUGUCUGCAUUCACUAUAUAGCUCAGCUAACACCUGCCGUAUGUUUUCCUACAAGCCUCAUGAUCCAAGUCUGGUCCCAGUCCAAAUAAUGCUUCUCUCCUAAUCAUUUCUUGUCAGACACAUUUAACUAAUGUUCUUUGUUUUUCUAUUUUUUCCCACCCCCUCUCUCUCUCUCUCUCCAUGUCUGAAUGCUUUACUCAACAGUGAAUCACAGUGUGUUGGGUGGUGUGUGUUUGGUUGAAUCUGG
ensembl:lncRNA